rfam:Lachnospiraceae bacterium CAG:364 genomic scaffold, scf225
AAUUACAAAGGUCGGAAAGGCUCCCGACACACUCGUAAGAGUACCUGAGAUGCUGGAUACGCCGCCCAGCUUGUAAUU